rnacentral:rRNA from 1 species
UACGUAGGUGGCAAGCGUUGUCCGGAUUUACUGGGUGUAAAGGGCGUGCAGCCGGGCUGACAAGUCAGAUGUGAAAUCCCGCGGCUCAACCGCGGAACUGCAUUUGAAACUGUCAGUCUUGAGUACCGGAGAGGUCAUCGGAAUUCCUUGUGUAGCGGUGAAAUGCGUAGAUAUAAGGAAGAACACCAGUGGCGAAGGCGGAUGACUGGACGGCAACUGACGGUGAGGCGCGAAAGCGUGGGAAGCAAACAGG